CUCUCACCCUAUUGUGCCUAGGUGUUGCAAACCACUGGAGGACAGAGUUUCACGCUUUGAUCUCAUGUCUCGGUCAUUCUUUAGCACAGAGGGAAAUAAAAUACAUGGAUCUAACAGGACAAAGCUUAAAAAAAAGUUAUGCCCUUUUCUGAAUGACGUCACACUUGAUUGCAAAAUGAAGCAAAUGAUAUGGGCCAAUGAAGAACAUUCUGGGGAAAGAGCACUGGCUCUAGAAGCAGAAACUCCCUUCAUGCCUUUGCACCCACCAUACAGUUCCCUAAAGUGGGACCUACAAAUUGGUUUCCUUUUAU